AAGGAAAAGGCAGAAGUGUUGACAUGUUGCCGUCAGGAUCUACAUGCCAAAGUCCUGUUCUACCUACAGAGUUGCCUUCCGUUUCGUCCUGGCUAAGGAAAUGCCAUAAAUGUCCUCUGGUCGUAAAAGGCGAAAUGCAAUUUCUGCACCUCCAGCCGCGCCCGAGGAGCCGCUGCACUUAAAUUUAUAUUUUUUAUGCGCUACCAAACCCUCGCAGCUCGAGUACGGAAUGCGGAAUAUGGAACUAAAAAAGUGUCCUUGUUGUGACUGCUUCGUCGAGGGCUGCGUGUAAAAUUAUGAUAAAUGUGCAUAAAAUCGCAUCGCAGGAUAACAACCGCAUGGCAUAUCCUGCUGGCUGCCAUUGACUCUGUCUCUGUCCCUCUCUCUCUCUCUGUCUCUGUCUCUGUCUCAGUCUUGCGGCUGCAUUUCGUCAUUGUUUUGCGGUCGUAAAAAAGUGUGUCCUGCAUUGGAAUGAAAAUUGCAAGGCGGCACGCACAGGACAAUGCCAGGACACGGGCGACACUGCCAAAUGGCGUUUUUGAUUGCAUUUUCUUUUAAUUAAAUUAGCUCGUCUUUUAUGCGCUGCUCUGCUUUCUGUACCUCAAAUUGUGAAACAUGCCACUUAGAGGGAGUGUCCUUGCAAUUUCUCAGC